GCAAAGUGCAGAUGGCCUGAGGAGGGAAGCUGACUUGCUUAGAGACAUUAGAACAGAGCAACGCCCCCCACCCCCUCGACAUUCUUGGGGUAGAUCCAAGAGGGAAGGCCUGGGACCGAGAACGGAAUGGAUCUUCUUACACCUCCGUUUCACAGGAGAAGCCCCCGCUUGCUCAAGAACCGCCCAAUCCAGCUUCAGUGCGUGGAAAAGCCACCAGCCUGCUCUCAACCCAGGAGACCUGUC